rnacentral:lncRNA from 1 species
GUGAACUUUUGACUGCUUUUCCCUUGAGUGUGACCUGUGCACUCCCACAGGGACACUUUGGAAAUCACUGGAGAAUUGCUGUGUGGUUUAAUGGACAGUGACUGUGUUUGAGAGGCAGGAGAACUGGAUAAACACUGGAGCUUAAAUAAGUCUAAGCAGUCAGUGAUGAAGUGUAUGAAAGACCUAUUGGAC